CCUACGGGUGGCAGCAGUGGGGAAUAUUGGACAAUGGGCGAAAGCCUGAUCCAGCCAUGCCGCGUGUGUGAAGAAGGCCUUCGGGUUGUAAAGCACUUUCAGUGGGGAAGAAAGCCUUGGGGCUAAUACCCUCGAGGAAGGACAUCACCCACAGAAGAAGCACCGGCUAACUCCGUGCCAGCAGCCGCGGUAAUACGGAGGGUGCGAGCGUUAAUCGGAAUUACUGGGCGUAAAGCGCGCGUAGGCGGUCUGAUAAGCCGGUUGUGAAAGCCCCGGGCUCAACCUGGGAACGGCAUCCGGAACUGUCAGGCUAGAGUGCAGGAGAGGAAGGUAGAAUUCCCGGGGUAGCGGUGAAAUGCGUAGAGAUCGAGAGGAAUACCAGUGGCGAAGGCGGCCUUCUGGACUGACACUGACGCUGAGGUGCGAAAGCGUGGGUAGCAAACAGGAUUAGAUACCGUGUAGUC
rnacentral:rRNA from 1 species